CUCGUGAUGUCAGCAGAGACAAAGAAGCCCAGGUGGGUGGCACUGGUCUGCUGGUGCUCGUGGCGCCCCCCACACUGCCUGGCCUCUCCCAUAGCCCUGAAAGCGAGGGGACAGGAUCCCACGGGCAGGGUGUCUCAGAAUGGAUAUUCACUGGGGCCGUUGCUCGCGCCACAGUGAGCAAAAGGGGCUUUGCCAGUAGCAGACACAUCAGGUCUCACUGCUUCCUUGAUUUUCUCGAAUACUUUUUUGGUGAGUCUGCUCAACUUUCCUUGUGGCAAUUCCCAGGCAAAGGGAGACCCUGCUGGUCAGGUGCAGGUUAAAAGCUACAGGGAACGGGGAUGAUUUCUGUGCCAGAGAAUACAGCUAAAUCCCACCCCGGUGCCAAUGUGUCAUGGAAGGAGGCAAAUGUCAAGGAAGGUACAGGAUUUACGGGGAAAAUCCUGCGCUGGAGAGUAUUUAACUGCAGCCACGUACUGAGAGCUCAGCAGGAUUGGCUGGAGUUUGUCUACGCUACAGAGCUGACACAUGUUCAAGGCUUAACCGAAGAGAGAGGCUCCUCUUAGGAAGAGGCGAGACUGAACCGCAGAACCGUGGAAGUGCCUACCACAGCUCUGCAUUAUCCAGACCGUCCAAAGCUGACCCCUUCCCUGGAGCUCGGCAAUUGUGCCCAGACAGACGGGCGGGGAGAGGAAGGGUAGAGUAGCUCUGGAAAUUGUUUUCCUGCUUCAGGGGAGGAGGGGAGCUGAGGCUGACGGUGUUGCAGGCUCUCACAGGUCACGUGAACGUGGAGCGAUUCCAGGAUGUGCAGGGAAUGGCACAGUAGCCAGGUGCACUUUUGACUCAGCUACGUCCUGGGCAGCACAUGAAGGGAUGGACGUGAUGCUGGAAGUGCUACCGGGUCUCAGGCACGUUGCUAACUAGGCAAAAGGGCCAAUGAGUCUAGGCAACGGUGCCGAUGGAGCUGGGGGGCCCACACCUCUAGCUCAGCCUCCAUCUGAAAUGAGCCCUGGGGGAUAAGCUCCCCACGUGGGUUGGUGCCAACACUAAGACCAUCCCUGCAAAGGGGCCAGCCCCUCCCAACCCUCGCUGGGUAGCAGGAAUUAAAGCCUCCUCCUUUGCA